GACCUGCGGAGGGAUCAUUACAAGUGACCCCGGUCUAACCACCGGGAUGUUCAUAACCCUUUGUUGUCCGACUCUGUUGCCUCCGGGGCGACCCUGCCUUCGGGCGGGGGCUCCGGGUGGACACUUCAAACUCUUGCGUAACUUUGCAGUCUGAGUAAACUUAAUUAAUAAAUUAAAACUUUUAACAACGGAUCUCUUGGUUCUGGCAUCGAUGAAGAACGCAGCGAAAUGCGAUAAGUAAUGUGAAUUGCAGAAUUCAGUGAAUCAUCGAAUCUUUGAACGCACAUUGCGCCCCCUGGUAUUCCGGGGGGCAUGCCUGUUCGAGCGUCAUUUCACCACUCAAGCCUCGCUUGGUAUUGGGCAACGCGGUCCGCCGCGUGCCUCAAAUCGACCGGCUGGGUCUUCUGUCCCCUAAGCGUUGUGGAAACUAUUCGCUAAAGGGUGUUCGGGAGGCUACGCCGUAAAACAACCCCAUUUCUAAGGUUGACCUCGGAUCAGGUAGGGAUACCCGCUGAACUUAAGCAUAUCAAUA
rnacentral:rRNA from 2 species